rnacentral:sRNA from 1 species
UAGCCUUGGAUAAUGCUCUUUUGCAUU